rnacentral:rRNA from 1 species
GACGAACGCUGGCGGCGUGCCUAACACAUGCAAGUCGAACGGACAGGCCCUGCUCUUGCGGCGUGCUCGAGUGGCGAACGGGUGAGUAACACGCGUGUAACCUGUCCCUGUCUUUGGGAUAACUCCACGAAACUGCGGCUAAUACCGCAUAGGAGCUCCUGCUGCACGGUGGGGGUUGGUAAGUUUCGGCGGUUGGGGCUGGUCUCGCUGCUUAUCAGCUUGUUGGUGGGGUAGUUGCUGACCAAGCCUUCGAAGGAUAGCCGGCCUGGGAGGGUGACCGGGGACAAUGGGACUAAGGUACGGACCAGAAUGCAACGGGAGGCAACGGUGGGAAGCAUUACGGAAUAGGCCGGAGCCAGAUACAACAGCGCCGCGUGCGGAAUAACGGGCUUCGGGUUGUGAACCACUUUCGAAUGUAACAAAGCGGGAGUGACGGUAAUGGAUAAGGAAGCACCGGCUAACUACGUG